rnacentral:lncRNA from 1 species
GUACGGUCUAUAAUGAAAACCAGACAUGACAAUGACUUGACUAAUCAUAUAAGUAUGGUCUAUGCCAAAAUAAAAUUGAACUGUCAUUACCGAUCGAAUAAGACGCAAUCUAUCAUGAAAAGAAGACAAGGCAAUGAUAUGAUCAAUUAGACAUUAUUAUGUUUAUUACGAAAAAUAGAUAGGACAAUGACAUGACCAAUUGUACAAGUGUGUUCC